rnacentral:rRNA from 1 species
AGGUUACGUCAAGACUCACGGCUAUUAACCGUAGGCUUUUCUUCUCUACUGAAAGUGCUUUACAACCCGCAGGCCUUCUUCACUCACGCGGCAUUGCUGGAUCAGGCUUGCGCCCAUUGUCCAAUAUUCCCCA